rnacentral:lncRNA from 1 species
CUGGUGCCACAGUAAGUUUCACUCGCAGAGUUUUACUGGAACUAGGAGAAUGGUUUACUGAUGCAUCAACUACCUCAUAGAUGGUAUGAAGCAAGCUGGUAAUAUCCUCACGUGUGACUCUUCCGUUGUUAUCAAAGUCAUACAGUGUGAAGGUCCAUUCUUGCCUGUUAUCUUCCUCUACAGACACAUCACAUUGCAAUUCUUCAAAUUUUAGUUGCUUCUUG